AACACAUCCUCAAGCACAUUUGCUUGGUCUUGGAGGAAGAUGUCAUCAUCUCCUCUCAAAUACCUCAGCGGAAACCUCUGCAGGCUCAGGUGUGAUUAAUUACUUUUCACUUGGUGACUGUGGUUACGUUCUUGCUGUCAAGCAGCCCCCAGCUCUAUAAGUUUGACCUCGGAUCAGGUAGGGAUACCCGCUGAACUUAA
rnacentral:misc_RNA from 1 species